rnacentral:rRNA from 39 species
UUAAGCGACUAAGCGUACACGGUGGAUGCCCUGGCAGUCAGAGGCGAUGAAGGACGUGCUAAUCUGCGAUAAGCGUCGGUGAGGUGAUAUGAACCGUUAUAACCGGCGAUUUCCGAAUGGGGAAACCCAGUGUGUUUCGACACACUAUCAUUAACUGAAUCCAUAGGUUAAUGAGGCGAACCGGGGGAACUGAAACAUCUAAGUACCCCGAGGAAAAGAAAUCAACCGAGAUUCCCCCAGUAGCGGCGAGCGAACGGGGAGGAGCCCAGAGCCUGAAUCAGUGUGUGUGUUAGUGGAAGCGUCUGGAAAGGCGUGCGAUACAGGGUGACAGCCCCGUACACAAAAAUGCACAUAUUGUGAGCUCGAUGAGUAGGGCGGGACACGUGGUAUCCUGUCUGAAUAUGGGGGGACCAUCCUCCAAGGCUAAAUACUCCUGACUGACCGAUAGUGAACCAGUACCGUGAGGGAAAGGCGAAAAGAACCCCGGCGAGGGGAGUGAAAAAGAACCUGAAACCGUGUACGUACAAGCAGUGGGAGCCUCUUAAUGGGGUGACUGCGUACCUUUUGUAUAAUGGGUCAGCGACUUAUAUUCUGUAGCAAGGUUAACCGAAUAGGGGAGCCGAAGGGAAACCGAGUCUUAACUGGGCGUUAAGUUGCAGGGUAUAGACCCGAAACCCGGUGAUCUAGCCAUGGGCAGGUUGAAGGUUGGGUAACACUAACUGGAGGACCGAACCGACUAAUGUUGAAAAAUUAGCGGAUGACUUGUGGCUGGGGGUGAAAGGCCAAUCAAACCGGGAGAUAGCUGGUUCUCCCCGAAAGCUAUUUAGGUAGCGCCUCGUGAAUUCAUCUCCGGGGGUAGAGCACUGUUUCGGCAAGGGGGUCAUCCCGACUUACCAACCCGAUGCAAACUGCGAAUACCGGAGAAUGUUAUCACGGGAGACACACGGCGGGUGCUAACGUCCGUCGUGAAGAGGGAAACAACCCAGACCGCCAGCUAAGGUCCCAAAGUCAUGGUUAAGUGGGAAACGAUGUGGGAAGGCCCAGACAGCCAGGAUGUUGGCUUAGAAGCAGCCAUCAUUUAAAGAAAGCGUAAUAGCUCACUGGUCGAGUCGGCCUGCGCGGAAGAUGUAACGGGGCUAAACCAUGCACCGAAGCUGCGGCAGCGACACUAUGUGUUGUUGGGUAGGGGAGCGUUCUGUAAGCCUGUGAAGGUGGCCUGUGAGGGUUGCUGGAGGUAUCAGAAGUGCGAAUGCUGACAUAAGUAACGAUAAAGCGGGUGAAAAGCCCGCUCGCCGGAAGACCAAGGGUUCCUGUCCAACGUUAAUCGGGGCAGGGUGAGUCGACCCCUAAGGCGAGGCCGAAAGGCGUAGUCGAUGGGAAACAGGUUAAUAUUCCUGUACUUGGUGUUACUGCGAAGGGGGGACGGAGAAGGCUAUGUUGGCCGGGCGACGGUUGUCCCGGUUUAAGCGUGUAGGCUGGUUUUCCAGGCAAAUCCGGAAAACCAAGGCUGAGGCGUGAUGACGAGGCACUACGGUGCUGAAGCGACAAAUGCCCUGCUUCCAGGAAAAGCCUCUAAGCAUCAGGUAACAUCAAAUCGUACCCCAAACCGACACAGGUGGUCAGGUAGAGAAUACCAAGGCGCUUGAGAGAACUCGGGUGAAGGAACUAGGCAAAAUGGUGCCGUAACUUCGGGAGAAGGCACGCUGAUAUGUAGGUGAAGCGACUUGCUCGUGGAGCUGAAAUCAGUCGAAGAUACCAGCUGGCUGCAACUGUUUAUUAAAAACACAGCACUGUGCAAACACGAAAGUGGACGUAUACGGUGUGACGCCUGCCCGGUGCCGGAAGGUUAAUUGAUGGGGUUAGCGGCAACGCGAAGCUCUUGAUCGAAGCCCCGGUAAACGGCGGCCGUAACUAUAACGGUCCUAAGGUAGCGAAAUUCCUUGUCGGGUAAGUUCCGACCUGCACGAAUGGCGUAAUGAUGGCCAGGCUGUCUCCACCCGAGACUCAGUGAAAUUGAACUCGCUGUGAAGAUGCAGUGUACCCGCGGCAAGACGGAAAGACCCCGUGAACCUUUACUAUAGCUUGACACUGAACAUUGAGCCUUGAUGUGUAGGAUAGGUGGGAGGCUUUGAAGUGUGGACGCCAGUCUGCAUGGAGCCGACCUUGAAAUACCACCCUUUAAUGUUUGAUGUUCUAACGUUGGCCCGUAAUCCGGGUUGCGGACAGUGUCUGGUGGGUAGUUUGACUGGGGCGGUCUCCUCCUAAAGAGUAACGGAGGAGCACGAAGGUUGGCUAAUCCUGGUCGGACAUCAGGAGGUUAGUGCAAUGGCAUAAGCCAGCUUGACUGCGAGCGUGACGGCGCGAGCAGGUGCGAAAGCAGGUCAUAGUGAUCCGGUGGUUCUGAAUGGAAGGGCCAUCGCUCAACGGAUAAAAGGUACUCCGGGGAUAACAGGCUGAUACCGCCCAAGAGUUCAUAUCGACGGCGGUGUUUGGCACCUCGAUGUCGGCUCAUCACAUCCUGGGGCUGAAGUAGGUCCCAAGGGUAUGGCUGUUCGCCAUUUAAAGUGGUACGCGAGCUGGGUUUAGAACGUCGUGAGACAGUUCGGUCCCUAUCUGCCGUGGGCGCUGGAGAACUGAGGGGGGCUGCUCCUAGUACGAGAGGACCGGAGUGGACGCAUCACUGGUGUUCGGGUUGUCAUGCCAAUGGCACUGCCCGGUAGCUAAAUGCGGAAGAGAUAAGUGCUGAAAGCAUCUAAGCACGAAACUUGCCCCGAGAUGAGUUCUCCCUGACUCCUUGAGGGUCCUGAAGGAACGUUGAAGACGACGACGUUGAUAGGCCGGGUGUGUAAGCGCAGCGAUGCGUUGAGCUAACCGGUACUAAUGAACCGUGAGGCUUAACCUU